ACCCGUUACGUUGGACCGGAACUUAUAGGUUCCAAGAAGCGGUGAAAGGGCGUGAGGCGCGGCUCUCUUCGGAAGUCGGCAAACCAGGGACCGACGAUGGAGAAGGAGGUGGCGAAGGUGGAGAAGGGCCAGAGGCUUGCGGUCGGCUACGUCGACGGGUCCAUCUCCAUCCACGACUCUCUCGAUUCCUCCUCUUCUUGUUCAUGCAAAUGGAAGGUAUGGCACUUGGGGUCGGAUAUGAGUGGCAUGACACUAAUAUCAACAGGAGCUGAUGGCAUGAUUAUGGCAGUCGAACUAAAAUGGUGUAUGGCGUGAACAGGCAGCCCUUGAAUGCAAUGGGAUGCAGCAAUAAGAAGAGACCAAUCAGGCUGCCGGUUGCCUCGAUGAACUUACCUUGCUUAAUGAUUACAAUUGUAUGGGCAUAUGUAUCACUUGUAUCUAAACCUUAUGCUUAGGGAAGGAUCUCUGUACAUUACCUUAUGCAGCUUAGCAGAGGAAGGCACGGUUUAUUCAAAUUUUGGACACUUCUUUUUUCAAAAAAGAAAAAAAGAAACUAAAAAUCCAUUUCUUGAGUUUACAAAAUGUUGCUAUGUGAGAAAUGAAAUGUCGUGCACCCGUCAGUUCUUGAA